rnacentral:rRNA from 1 species
GUAGGUGGCAAGCGUUGUCCGGAAUUAUUGGGCGUAAAGCGCGCGCAGGCGGUUCUUUAAGUCAGAUGUGAAAGCCCACGGCUCAACCGUGGAGGGUCAUUGGAAACUGGAGAACUUGAGUACAGAAGAGGAAAGCGGAAUUCCACGUGUAGCGGUGAAAUGCGUAGAGAUGUGGAGGAACACCAGUGGCGAAGGCGGCUUUCUGGUCUGUAACUGACGCUGAGGCGCGAAAGCGUGGGGAGCAAACAGGGAUUAGAUACCCUGGUAGUCCACGCCGUAAACGAUGAGUGCUAAGUGUUAGGGGGGUUUCCGCCCCCUUAGUGCUGCAGCUAACGCAUUAAGCACUCCGCCUGGGGAGUACGGCCGCAAGGCUG